AUAUUGCACACCUGCGGGGGGAUGAGAAGCCCCGACCGGGGUUCGACAACUGGCGCAGCCAGCUGGACAGAUGACGAGCCCGCGAGGAAUCUACCCGCAGGGCGAGCGAAGCGAGUCAAUCCCCCCCUCACCGCUA
rnacentral:sRNA from 1 species